UACGAAGGGGGCGAGCGUUGUUCGGAAUUACUGGGCGUAAAGGGCGCGCAGGCGGCUCUGAAAGUCAGAUGUGAAAGCCCCGGGCUUAACCUGGGAACUGCAUUUGAUACUCUGGAGCUUGAGUACGGGAGAGGAUAGUGGAAUUCCCAGUGUAGAGGUGAAAUUCGUAGAUAUUCGGAGGAACACCAGUGGCGAAGGCGGCUCACUGGUCCAUUACUGACGCUGAGGUGCGAAAGCGUGGGGAGCAAACAGG
rnacentral:rRNA from 1 species